rnacentral:rRNA from 1 species
CCCUUAGAUGUUCUGGGCCGCACGCGCGCUACACUGACGGAGGCAGCGAGCAUGUCCUUCGCCGAGAGGUGUGGGGAAUCUUGUGAGUCUCCGUCGUGCUGGGGAUAGAUGGUUGCAAUUGUCGAUCUUGAACGAGGAAUUCCUAGUAAGCGCAAGUCAUCAGCUUGCGUUGAUUACGUCCCUGCCCUUUGUACACACCGCCCGUCGCUCCUACCGAUUGAAUGGUCCGGUGAAGCGUUUGGACUAUGGUUUUCUGAUGGUCCGCCGUUGGAUUACCGUGGGAAGUUCGUUAAACCUUAUCAUUUAGAGGAAGGAGAAGUCGUAACA